AUUGUUCUAGGCUUUGGGGAUAUGGGAAUGAAGAGAACAAAAAAAUCUCAGCCCUCAUGGAGCUUGCAUUCAGUGGGGCCAACAGAUAAUAGGCAAGCUAAGGGAACAGAAUGAGUUAGAAAGAGUAGAAUUAAGGAGAAAAAAAUAAAAGAGCAAGGGAAGAGGGUGUGUAUUGAACUUUUAGGGACAGUGGACCUCACCAGGAAACCUCACCAGUAAGAGGGUCAUUUGAGCCCCUCACCCGAAGGGAAGAAGGUGUGAGUGCACCUCGGGAAAGAGCUGGUACAAGUGUCUGCAGACAGGACUGGCCUGGAGGAACUUACUCAACAGUGGGAAACAGUCUGCUCUUCCUGCAGACACACACCCAGAGAGGCAACCCAUUUUCUACUUGGCAUCAUUCUUAGAUAGGUCAAGGUCAUGCUGAUGGUGAGAAGAUCCCAUGGAGUGUCAAUACACUGGGAGCUGUGCCUCUGUAUGGGCCAGGCACUGGGAAUGACUGAAGACCAAAAUGGAGUUUUGUUUUUCUCCUGACAGCAGAUGCCACAGAUUGGGCAGACCCAGGAGGCUCUUCUUUACCUGGGCGUGUGGUGAGAACUCAAGUCCGAAGCCUAUGUCUGAGCAGCCUAUCUGUACUUCAUUGAGCCUCUGUUUUCACAUCUAUAAAAUAGGGAUAACAACUACCUCAUUGCACUGAAGUGGAGGCUAAACGAGCUUCAAACAAAAAGAUCAAAGUCUGGUUAACUUCCAAGCACUGUGAAAUGCUAGCUCCUAGUACUGACAGGCAAAAGAUGUGUCUUUCUUUCUCCCAUUGGGAGUUGCCCUGACUGCGAAUCCCCCCGUAUAUGAUAGUGCUCAAGAACAUUUCCAAUAUGGUAUAGAAUGUAGUACUUGUAGCCAAAAUAGAGCACGCUUUACACUGUAAAACCACAAAUACAAGUAAAUUUGAGAGCAAGAUGAUUCAGGAGGCGAAGGGAUGAGCAAACAGUUAAAGAUCAUUCCCUCCGUUUAAUACAUAGAUGGUGUCAAAGAAGCAAAACAGCCUGUUCCAUUCUGGAAGGGCCAGUUUUUCUUUAGCUCAACAAGAGCAUGUAGUUAGGAGCACAACCAACCAAUGAAGCAAUCCACAAACAAAACAAAAACGCCAUUUAGAUGGCUGUUACCUGCUACGCAGCUGUGGUUGUCUUCUGUUCCUGAAAGCUUUUUUCUGGCCCUUUUCAUAAAGCUCAUGUCACAUGAGCUCACCCCACAUCUUCCGUCCAUUUCCUGGCCACAGCCAAGUCCAGGCACUGAGCUCAGAGUGAGACGUGGCCACAAAUUGUGGGAUCCAUUCUCUGGAG
rnacentral:lncRNA from 1 species